UAAUUAAGAGGCAAAACUUCAAAUACUAUUCAGAUAGUUUCAUACUUUCUCAUUUUAAUACUUUAUAAUUUAAAGUAUAUUAAUUUAGUAUCCUAUAAUUUUUUUUUAUUUUUUUAUUAUCGAUUUCACCAACUUUUUUUGUUAAAUCAGUGACAAAAUUAAAACUAAAAGAUAGUAAAGUAAAUAUUCAAUAAAACUAUAUGAGAUAUCUGAAAUUUUUUGUGUAUAAUUUAAUAAAAUAUUAAAAAAAAACUGACGAAAAGAUAAAAAUAAAAUUACAGAACAUUAACUUGACAUAUUUUAAAUCACAAAAUAAUAAAGUGAGAAAAUGCGAAAUGACUAGAAUGAUAUUUAAAGUUUAUUCUAAUUAAGAUAUAGU
rnacentral:lncRNA from 1 species